rnacentral:rRNA from 1 species
CACGUAGUUAGCCGGGGGCUUUCUUCUCGGAUACCGUCACUCCUGGAGCAGUCACUCUCCAGGCCGUUCUUCUCCGGCAACAGAGCUUUACGAUCCGAAGACCUUCUUCACUCACGCGGCGUUGCUCCGUCAGGCUUUCGCCCAUUGCGGAAGAUUCCCUACUGCUGCCUCCCGUAGGAGUCUGGGCCGUGUCUCAGUCCCAGUGUGGCCGACCACCCUCUCAGGUCGGCUACGCAUCGUCGCCUAGGUGGGCCGUUACCCCGCCUACUAGCUAAUGCGCCGCAGGCCCAUCCGAAAGUGGCAGAAAGCUCCGCCUUUCCAGAAAGCAAGAUGCCUCGCUUUCUCCUAUCCGGUAUUAGCUGACGUUUCCGCCUAGUUACUCCCGGUCUUUCGGGCAGGUUGCCUACGUGUUACUCCACCCGUCCGCCGCUCGGCCCCGAAGGGCCCCGCGUCGACUUGCAUGUAUUAGGCACGCCGCCAGCCGUUCGUCCGUCGACGUCCGAGGACUAC